UUAAUUCAAAAUUGUAUGGAGCUGGAGAGGUUGCCUACGCUUGCCGCUUGGGGCGCUGUUCCAACUGUAUACAAAGUUUAGUUA
rnacentral:pre_miRNA from 1 species